GCUCGUGUGGACCUACAACAGUGUUGUCAGAUAGGAGGAAAACAAAUCCCUAGGGUUAGUGGGAUUACCAUAUUCCCAAUACCCAUCUUUAUUAUCUCAUUCUUCAUCACACAGGCACUGAACUCAUUGUUAUCGUCAGCAUCCGUCCUCAUGGUGAGUCACCAUUAUUACGACCAGAGCCAGGCAAAAAUAUGAAGGAUGCAUGAUUUCAGCUCUGCAACAGACCUUGGAUAAUCAUCCCUUUUGAAAAUGUAGCCCUGCUUGGCAACCCAGGCAAUGCACGUCAAUCCGAGGACCCAUUUCCAACCCUCCAAUCAGC